rnacentral:rRNA from 1 species
UACAGAGGGGGCAAGCGUUGUUCGGAAUUACUGGGCGUAAAGGGCGCGUAGGCGGCCAACUAAGUCAGACGUGAAAUCCCCAGGCUCAACUUGGGAACUGCGUCUGAUACUGGAUGGCUUGAAUUCGGGAGAGGGAUGCAGAAUUCCAGGUGUAGCGGUGAAAUGCGUAGAUAUCUGGAGGAAUACCGGUGGCGAAGGCGGCAUCCUGGACCGAGAUUGACACUGAUGAGCGAAAGCCAGGGGAGCAAACGGG